GGGGGAUAUUGCACAAUGGGGGAAACCCUGAUGCAGCGAUGCCGCGUGGAGGAAGAAGGUUUUCGGAUUGUAAACUCCUGUCGUAAGGGAAGAGGAAGGACUGUACCUUACAAGAAAGCUCCGGCUAACUACGUGCCAGCAGCCGCGGUAAUACGUAGGGAGCGAGCGUUGUCCGGAAUGACUGGGUGUAAAGGGAGCGUAGGCGGGAUGGCAAGUCAGAUGUGAAACCUGAGGGCUCAACCUUCAGACUGCAUUUGAAACUGCUGUUCUUGAGUGAAGUAGAGGUAAGCGGAAUUCCUGGUGUAGCGGUGAAAUGCGUAGAGAUCAGGAGGAACAUCGGUGGCGAAGGCGGCUUACUGGGCUUUUACUGACGCUGAGGCUCGAAAGCGUGGGGAGCAAACAGGAUUAGAUACCCUGGUAGUCCACGCUGUAAACGAUGAUUACUAGGUGUGGGGGGAUUGACCCCUUCCGUGCCGCAGUUAACACAAUAAGUAAUCCACCUGGGGAGUACGACCGCAAGGUUGAAACUCAAAGGAAUUGACGGGGGCCCGCACAAGCAGUGGAGUAUGUGGUUUAAUUCGAAGCAACGCGAAGAACCUUACCAGGUCUUGACAUCGAGUGACGUAUCCAGAGAUGGAUAUUUCCUUCGGGACACAAAGACAGGUGGUGCAUGGUUGUCGUCAGCUCGUGUCGUGAGAUGUUGGGUUAAGUCCCGCAACGAGCGCAACCCUUAUCAUUAGUUGCUACGCAAGAGCACUCUAAUGAGACUGCCGUUGACAAAACGGAGGAAGGUGGGGAUGACGUCAAAUCAUCAUGCCCCUUAUGACCUGGGCUACACACGUACUACAAUGGCGAUCGAACAGAGGGAAGCAAGACAGCGAUGUGGAGCCAAUCCCAAAAAAUCGCCCCAGUUCAGAUUGCAGGCUGCAACUCGCCUGCAUGAAGUCGGAAUUGCUAGUAAUCGCAGAUCAGCAUGCUGCGGUGAAUACGUUCCCG
rnacentral:rRNA from 1 species